AAGACAAUCCCUCCCUUUUCACCUGUGCUCAAAACUUGUUAUUAAAAAUGGUUGAACUGCUAAUGAAGAUGAAACAAACCUCUGAGACAUUUUUGAGAAUACAUUUGUCAAGUAGAAUUUUAUGAAUUUCGUUUCAUGAAGGAGUAUGCAGGGACUUGCUGCUGUAACAAAAAAUGAAAAGUACCCAUUCUUGUCUCAUGUCCAUAGAUUAUUAAUGCCCCCUAUGCAAAAAGGAAUAUGGACACCACUCCUUCCCCCCUUGUUUUCCUAUAGCAAUAAAGCAGUGAAAUCUGAGUAACUAAUUAAGUUUUAGAUUUCCCAUGCAGGAAAAAUCCCUUCUCAAAUUCACUCUCAACUCAAAUUCAUUUCUGAAAAAGCCAUGUCUGGGAUGCUGGUAGAAAGCUGGACACUUUAAGGCUUUUUGCAGUUUUGAAUGGUGCAGCUGGUGUUGUCAAUUCAGUUUAGACAGUUUUAAAAUACCUGAGAAUCCCUGGGGGAAGUUGUUUUGCAGUUCAGUAGGCUUGGCAGGGGUGGUAGUCCUGUCCAGGUUGCCGAAUUCGUUUUGCUUACUCAUGGGAAAAGUGAUGCCCAUGUGUUAAGAGUAGCACUUGAUUUAAACUUAAAGAGAGUAGAUUUAGAUUAGAUAAUAGGAAGAAAUUCUUUACUGUGAGGGUGGUGAGGCACUGGCACAGGUUGUCCAGAGAAGCUCUAGAUGCCCUAUCCCUGGGAAUGCUCAAGGUUGGCUGGCAUUUUGAGCAACCUGCUUUAGUGAAACCUGUCCCUGCUCAUUGGAAGGGCAUUGGAACUAAGUAGCCUUUAAAGCCCCUUUAAAUCCAAAUCAUUCUAUGAUUUUUCUCAUCAAUGGCUAGAUAAAUAAUAGUUACAGACCAAACUCUGCAAAGAACUUCUCCUCAUGUCAAGCUUUGUCUCUAGGACCAUCAGCCCUAUGCAUUCUGCUCUGUGAUUUGUAUCCAUUUCUCAGUCUGAACACAGGAACCAAAAUGUCUGUUCUUGAAAUCUUGCAGUUUUCAAGAUUUCAUUUUCAGCUCUUAUGUUCACUUCAGGAAAGCCUGACUCUGCUGUCUCUACUUUUAAUUCUUUCUUUCCAUUGUACUUAGGUCCAGAGAGAAAUUGGUGGCAUCUGUGGAUUUUGGUGUGACUGACUCAGAUGGCAAACGGGACAGAGAGGAAUGGCAUCUGUGUGGUUGGUCCUUCAUGACUGUAACUACUUGUUCCUAGAAAUGAGGAACAGGUGCAAGAAAUCAAGAGGCGUCCAAGAGUCAAAGUCUCCCUGUUCAGUGCAGAUUUCUGUGGGAAGUUUGCAGAGACCUGCAAUGAACUGCUCUGUGCCUGGCUGUCUGUCUUCUGGGAUUUUUCAGCUACCCAAUGACUUGGGAAUCUGACUGUGUGGCAAAAUUUAGCUUCAGAAAUUGAGCUUUUGUAGUUUUGCUUAAGUUUCCACCUUUUCUGGUUGCAUAGUACCUGAUCUUAGUGUAACCCAGUGCUGUAUUAUCUUUCCCAGCCUACACUCUGACAGCUUUUAAAAGAGGCGUGAAUUUUCUCUGUUAUCUCUGUGGGAUGUGUAAUGCCCUACACCUAAAAUUCAGCUUACUAACUAUUAUGCUCCUGCUCACUUCAGCUAAUGGAGACAGCUAAUAAGGUUCUUUUACUGUAUGUUCCCAGAAUAUGUUACAUAGCCUGUGUUAAAGUCUUUGCAUAAUUGUUUGAUGCAUUAACAGGUCCUAGAAGAGUGGGAGUGAAAGAACAGGUUAGGAAUUUCAGCUUAUUUAACAAGCUGUUUUUACCUUGCCUGACAAAGGAGGUAGAAGAAGAGCCUAUAUCACAACUCUUUCCUGAAGAUCAAGCCACCUACCUUGUUCUGGUUUGAUUAGUCUGAUCCAAUGUUUCCAUUUCUGGCUCCCAAAAUUGAUUUACUUAUUUUCCAUGUGAUUUUGCAACACAAUGGUGAUAGAAAAUAGAUUGUGCUGAAAUCCUGAAGUAAACACUCAAUUUCUAAGUAAAAUCAAGAUAAGAGAAGGCAACUAAUUAGAGACACUUUCUAAGAACCUUUGUUGAAGACACCACAGAUGUCACUGUUGCACAGGACCUUCUCACAGAAUUUAAGUCCAAAGACAGGGAGACCCCAACUACAUUUCCCAUAUUGUAAAAACCUGCAGGUUUGUGUUGCCAUAUGAGACACUGGUCUUCACUUGGACACCCUCAGGUGUGGUAAUAAAUAAUACCAUGAAACUAUACAAUAAUGAAAUCAUGGUUACUGCUGCCCAGGAGUGUGUGCACUCUUGUUGCUACAACCAACACAAAUCACAGCAAAAUUUAUGCCUCUCUAAUCUAGUUAUACUUGGUGUUAACACUGGGAAAAUCUCAGGACCCCACAGACAUUUUACAAGAGGAGGAAGGCCCAGUUUUCUAUUUUCAUAUCUGUUUUUCCUAGAGAUACUCCACCCAAGAAUCAAUUGGGUUUUAAGUGGCAUAGGUUACAAUGUUACCACAUAAGUUGCAGUACAGUUUUCUGAGAUGUGAAGAUGUGUACUUUCUUUUUAUUUCGAACAGAUUUCCUUUUUAUGCAAGGAAUUCUCAGACACCCAGACUGAGAAAAAAAGGUUGGAGUAUAUUAUCUACACCUACCAGGAAUUCGUUACUUCCAGUCAGUGUUAAGAGCUGAAAAAAUAAGUCUUCAGACCUCGCCUGACUCUGCUGCAGCUGACUGGUAGCCUAAGUAAAUGAAGUGAUUUCACUUCAGGAGAUCUUAGAAGAUUUGGUUUCAUCACCAAUGUAAAGAUUUCUGAGGAAAUUCCCUUUGUAAUCGGCUGCUUGCUCUCAUUGACUGUAAUGGAAGGAAAACAGCCCUUGACACAGAAAGGAUUAAUGGGAAAGGUCAGGUGAAUGAAUAGAUCUCUGGAGCAGAAGCUGGGUUUGAGGAACAGGAUAAAGCAAGCUACAAAGCCAGGAGAAGCACAUUGCAGAGUUGCCCUGAGUGCGCUGAAGAGUGUGGCUCUCAGUCUUUCCAAUGACCUUUCAUUUGAGAAGCAGGGAAUAAACACUGAAGUGAUUCAGGCCUAGAGACGCUCUAUGAGGAAGGAAAUCUUGGAGACUGAAGAGAUUGAGAAACCCCAGUUGGAGCACUGAUCCAGAUUUGCUGGACUUGCCACACACUGCUCUGGUUCAGGCUCCAAAGCUGCUUUGGCCCAAAUUUAUCCCUCUCAAUCUAAACAUCCCCACUCAACCCCUUCCAUCACCUUCUCGGUACCCACACGUAUUUACUGCAGUGGCCUGUGUCCAUUGCUGGGGAGUGCUGACCUUCAGUAAAGCCAGCAAUGGCUUUUACUAAUUAAAGAGCAACUCACCCUCUCUGGCUUUGCCCUUCAAUUUCUCCUAGAAAUCCUUUUCUCCUUAAUAGAAAAACAUCUAGAUGAUGGAACAAAGCACGGUCGUCUGGUGACCCUUGAUUGCCUAGAAAUCUAAUGGCUGUCUUGCAAGCUGGGGAUCCACCUUUCCUUUUUUUUCCCCUUAGAACUUUGUAAAAGCUAAUUGGAAAGCAAUCACAGCCCAACACUUAAUAGACUUUCACAUUUCAAUAGCAAAUAUUUUUUUCUGUGUUCAAGAGGCACACUGCGCAAUUUGCUCCCUUUCUUAGAAGGUAGAUAGUUUGAUCUUGGCUAGGGAAGAAGGCUACAGUAUAUCACUUUUAUUACCUUCUUUAUAUGAGAAUAAAUGUUUUAUAAAAGUUCUGAAAAUAAUUUCUUAUGUCAGGGAGGGAGAAACUUAGUUCUAGUACUCAAAAUGCUUUAAUUAGUUUUCCCUGAGUCCGUUUUCUUUGUUAUCUCCCUACAGCUGAAUCAGUUUUAUUACCCUGAAGAAAUAAUUUGCUCUUAUUAAGACCAAGUACUCUGUUCAAUAAUUUAAUAUGUUACAUUCAUCUUUAACGUUAAAAGGCCUGAGACAAAGUUCACUGAAAUCAAUGGAAAGUCUGCUAGGGACUCCAAAGGUCUUCGGAUCCUUUUAAGGGAGUUUCAGUCUGAAGAAGCAUCCAUAUUGUGGUUAUUAUGUGCAGCAUAUCUAGCUUGGAUUAUCAGAGGUGUAAUUAUGGUAGUUGAGGGCUCUGUGGGGCCAAAUGGCAAGUAUUUAUGCAAGUCCUUGAGCAGGUGGAGCCUUUUUUAGUCUGAGUUCUUUGCUGCCAUGGUUACACUACUACAAAUACCUGCCCUUGUUAGCUUUAAUUUAGCUUACUUAUGGUUACAGAAGUUAAAGGCACUCCAGUAUAGCCAAAUUUACUCUCCCUAGAGGUUUCUUGUGUUAUACUGAUUUCAUCCCUUAAAUCAGAGGUAUAUCGCUGUCUGGUUUUCCUUCAUCACUGGGUGGAUCUCACUACUGCUUGUCAGCAGUCACCCAUAACAGACAGUCUUCUCUAGCAGUAUUGUCAUUUUCACUUACAAUCUAUUUUCUCCUUUCGUUACUUGAAAAGGUUUUGAUACUCCUCCUUUUCUGAUAGGUAAUUUUUGUUCCCAGCCACCUGUGUUUCCCUUGUGAAUCUGUUAAUGGCAAUAAAUUAAUCCCUAGAUGCGUUAUAGCAUGGUUGAGCACCAUUGUAUUGACAACUGAGCCAGAAAAGCCCUUCUAGCGCAGUUCCUUAGAGACUGAAUAUAAAAAGCCAUUCUAGAACAUCCUACACUCAUAUUAGGCAGUAUAAAAAUCAUGUUGUGUGCUGGAAAUAUUAUUCUCCUCCAAAGGACUGUGAAGCCUAAUGUUUAACAACUGUAUUUUGGAAGUGUCCAGUAUGCUUGCUUAUCAGUCUGAGAAUCAUGAGCAUCUAUUUUAAUUUCAGGAGAAAAAUGAAAAUGUCACAAUAAGCAUCUUAAACAUUUAUUUAACAAGAGAGAAAGUCCCUUACCAUUGUCAUUGAUAUUCAAGAAGGUAAAAUCUGAUGUCUGUAAGUAAUCCUACGUACUCAACUAUAGUCUGCUUUUGUUAUGGUCCUGUAUGUCCAGUUGAAAUUCCUUCACCAUAACCUACUGGUACAUUAUGGACCAGAUCCAAAGCUGGGUCAGAUCAAGAUUAAUGGCUGAACUUGAUCUUAGAAGCCUUUUCUAUCCUAAAUGAUCCUAUGAUUCUAAGAAGGGGCAGCUUGAUACAUACAGUCUCUUUUGCCUUGUACACUAUUUCAAAAUCCAAUAAAAGUUCCUUAAGACAGGAAAUUUUGUGUCCUUAUUUUCCAUUGCUUUAACUUUUAUUUCUUUUUUUUUGAAGCUUGUGAGAACUUAGGGUAGACAUAAAUAAUUUCGUCUAAGUUUUUUCACAAGUGUGAAAACCUUAAAUUUUUAAGGUAUGUCCUGAAUCACGUGAGGGAGGCAUAGAAUACUCUGGCUACAAGUACUGGUAUCUUGAACCCUGUAAUUAAUUUUCAAGUCAUGGUGCUGGAACCCGUCCACCAUCUGUGUCCUCGAUGCAUGGACUUCAUGAGAAGUAUUGCUACAACCUCUAAAUGGGAGGAAAAAUGAGGGAACAAAUUGAACAGUUAUUAAGAAUGGAGCUAUUUUCCUGAUGAAACAUGACUCAUGCUGACAAUGGAUAUUCAAAGUACUCUGCAGAUUUAGUAAGUAAUGUUUCACUGGUGAUAAGUGAUGUUUGAGAAUGAUAAAUUUUGAAGGGAAAGAAAUUUUGCCCGAGUUUGUUCAGACACUUGUGUAUCGUUUUUCUUGGGUACCUUUACCAUGACAUCUAUCAGGAACCAAUGCCUAGGCUUUGGGGACAGCUGAGCUUAAUUUCUAAGCCUAAUGUAUGUAUGCCCACAUACACUGGAGUUUUGUUCCAUACUCCUUGUACUUUCUUUUUUACUUCAGAACAAAAAGAAUAUAUUGAUAUGCCUGAACUGAUUAAGUGAAUGACCCUGAUACAACCAAUUAAUAAUGUAUAUUCUCACUUAUCUUGAAGGGGUUAAGGAAGACAACUCUUGGCAGGCAGAUUUAUCACACUCAAAAUACCUGGUACAAAGACAUGAGCUCAGAAGCCAAAGGAGGCACAGGCAGACUUUAUGUCUUAUUGCCUAUUCUUCUUUGGGUGGUUCUGAAAUAUGAUUCAAAAAAGCUCUUAUCAUGAGUGUAUGUAGGUGGAGACAGGACUUACUAUGCAUUAAUUAUAAUCUACCACAAGCCUAUCAGAAUGCUAUUGCUGGACCAAAGAAAAAUACCUCUUUAAUGUAAACUUGAUGGUGUACAAAUCUAUAUCAUAGUUCCUGAUAUAUAUGUAAGAACAAGUGUAUUACAGUAUAACUGUAUUAAAGUAGCUUUUGAAAAACUUCUCAGCUUUUCUAGAGAGUUUUAAAAGCUAAUAUCAGUGCUAAUAUAAUAUAAAAGAAAGAUUUCAUUCUUACUCUUUUUAAAUGUGAAGUGCAUGUUUGAUAUUCUUCAUACAAUACUGGUUUUUAAUGAGGUAAAAUCAGUACAAGGUGUCUGUUUCUUGACUGAUAGAAAAUCAGAAGAAGAAAUUAGUAUUGUGAGAGAAUAUUAUUUGCUUCUCUUGGCACUAUCUUUUUGUCUUCAUAGCUGAACCCUUUAUUAUUUUCAUCCUUGCUCUAUUGAAAUCUAGGGGCAGGGAAUACUUGUGUAGCAGGAUAUACCUCCAAGCACACACAGGUGUACUGAAAAGCCUUAUGUGUGAGCUCCUGCAGUGAUUUUUUAAAUCCUUAAGCUAAUCUAUUGUCCAUCUCCUCUAUACCCAAUGCUCUGUUCUUCUUUUUCUCUGUUUUCAAGUUGGACAAUUCUAUUUUCCGCUUCACCGAAAUGAGAGUCAAAAGCCUUUGAUUUAUACCCUCAGUUCUCUCAUUUACAGAUAGUACCAUUACAGAGAUUUUUCACUAUCCAUUCUGCUUUCAGGUAAGGUUAGAAGUGCUCUGGAUCUUGACAACUAUGCAGCAGCAAUAGGCUCAGGAGAGCUGCAAGAAUGAGUCAUGUGUUCUCCAGUGGCAAGUGGGGGGGAAAUUUGUAUUCUCGAGCUGUAAGAGGUGGUUUUCUUCUUUUUUAUUUCAAAACAAGACUUAUUCCCAGGUGUUCUAGCCAACUAAAUUGAUCAGCAAAGCCACCAGUUUUAGGUGAAGAAGAAAAGAAAUAUGUUUUGAAACUCAAACAUAUUUAUCACCUACUUUCCAAUACAAAGACAGCCACAUUUCUCUCAGUGUUUCUCAUAAGUUUCUUCUCUUCCCUUCACUCCCAUGGCCUGCUAGAAGAAGGUGCUGUUACCUGGGGUUCCCAGAAUAAAGUGGGUGCACCCCUUCACUCAUGUACUCCUGUCCAGCCAACCUCUUUCAAUAUAUGGUCCCUGGAGGUGUAGAGUGCAAGCUGUCCUCUGACAGCUGUACUUCCACUAUAAAUAUAAUUGUACAGGCUUCUUAUCCAAAGCCAAGAGCCCUUGGUGAACCAGCCUUUACUAGCAGUGGGCUGCAGAGUGUUUGCAGAAAGGGACAAGUGUCAGGUCACACAUAUGUGGAGAAAAUUUCAGAGAGGUACCCAAAUCCUACUGAAAGUUGAUAGGAACUAAGCACUUAACAGACCCUUUCUGCUCCAGCAUGCCUUGUCCUGAGAUAGAGAUGUAUUACUCAUGCAGGACUCAGUGCUUCUAAGGUGUGUUUUUUUCCUGUUAAAAAUGAGAAAAAAGAAAGGAAGAACUCAAUGACAUUGCUUUCCACUGAGUCUAAUCAGGUUCCUAGGCUAUAUUUUUUCCUAGCUAGAAUUUUAAAUGUAUUUACUUAGAAUAUAAACUACAACAGAGAAGAUCAAGAGGUUUUAUUUCAAUACUCUGACAACUCCUGAUUUAAAUUCAUUGCACUAGUACAUUUAAAAAAUUAAUUUUCCUGUAUUUAAAAGGGUUAAAAAAACCUAGUAAAAGCGGCUUGGCUUUACAGAUAAUGAUAGCAUUUAGCAGCUCCAUGUGAGUGCCAGCAUUAAUGCUAUGCUGAGGUAUAUGGUGAGAAGGAAAACAAAGUUUUUACUGCUUUUCUUAGAUGUUUUUUACAACCAACACUCAGCCAAACUGGGAAUAGGAUGGCAAUGCUGCAGUCCUUUAUGUCCUUCUUGCUGUAUGACACCUCUGGUUAAUGCAGCCUACCUCCAGCACACUGAAUAUAUCAGCCUCUUUUAGACACAGCUGCCAGAACUAAUGUCAGGAAGGCAAGCAGAAGACCAGUCAUAGGCGUAUCUUUAGGCUGGCAGUCAGAGAAAAGACUCUUUCUGGACUUUUUUUUUUGAGGACAAUUUAUUUUGUAGCAUCACUAUAGGGCAACAGGAAGGGUCAGAAGUUAAAUGAGCAAGCAAUUUGUUGACAACAUGGGGAAAAUGCUGCUAGUGGACUUUGAAGUGGGAAAUGUUUCUUAAAAGCAGACACCAGAUGGGAGUUGAUCAUUUUGAUGCUAGCAGGACACAGAAUAGACAUAUUGUCAAUUACCUAAAAGACUGCACAAUUUGUCAAAUAUGAGUUGGACAAGAAGAGAAAGAGAAGUUAUCCAUGUAGCGGAGUUCAAUGAACAAGUUAGCCCAGCUGAAUGAAAAUCUCUAGCAAGAGAUCUUACUUUAAAGCAUAUUUUUGAUCCCAGAUAAAAGAUUACACGUAGCAGUGAUGUUUUUUCUUAGUCUUGUUUUUAAGCUGGAUUUCCCAAUGAAACGUUGUUUAAACACUCAGAUUGUCUACUUAUUUUUUGGUAUCAUGCCUUGCCUUUUAAAUCAACUGGCAGUUUUUGACAAAGGGACAGACGUCUCAGAUCUGCUCGCUUCCUUCACAAUUACUGCAUACAGACAGUUUGAUAGAGAGUCCCCUGCUAAUGUCUUGUUGCAGUAUGAGCACAAACCUUAUCAGGCACCAGUGAGUCUGUACUGAUGCAGUGUGCCCUGAGAAACAAAGCCAGAGAAAGGCAGGUUUCAUUCUUUGUGCUUCUUAUGAAGUUUUAUUUUUCCACAAUCUGCUAAAUUCAGUAGUCAGUUUAUGCAAAAACACUAUCAUAUUUAUAAGAGGGCAUACAUUACAACUAAUUCAUUUUUAUUAUUAUUAUUAAAAAUAUUUGAAAACUUGUUAUGGUACAGACUUCCAUAGGCAUCUAGGCAGCCAGGGAAGAAAUGGUCUGGUUCAUUUUCUACUUAAGUCAAACCCAGCAUUUUGUUUGCCUAAAAUACUGUACCACAUCAGGCCAUUUUAAAUGAUAAUAUAUGAGAAGUACAUGACAAGUGAGCUUGUAAUAUUGGCCAUGAGCUAUCAAAAAACUUGAGUCUAUGUGGUUUUGACCAAAAAAAAUCAAGGCAAAUAUCUCAGAAAAGCCUAACAGAAAAGAAAUAAAGAGAGGAAUCCUUAAACAUUCGUGUAUUCAGACGUGGAAGUGGGAAGAAAUACGUACGAGGGAAAAAGGGGGAUCAUUUUGUUGUGUCUGACAGCCACACAAUUAGAGAUGCAUAAACCAGCAAGCUGAGAUAUUAGUCAAAGAUGUCAAACAGAACAUCGAUCUGACCUAGAGACAGUACAAACAAACUAGUUUAGAUAGCAGUAAUGCUCAGCAAACAGAGCUCUGUGUCUGUGUGUGUGUCUGUGUGUGAGUGUGAUACACUCAAGAAGUGCCAGAUUGGGGUUAAACUGCAGGCCAGUUGUUUAUAGUUUAGGAAAUACUUAGCAUAAGACCAACAAGAAGCCUGUGGGAUUAUCCAUACAAGCACAAUCCUUGAGGCAUCACAAACAUCUUUGCAUAAAGCAAGACCAGCUGUCAGAAAGGAAGAAUAAUUUUCUUUAAUAUUUGAAUUUAUUAGCCAUAAAGAAAGGCUGACAAGAAAUGUGAGGCAUGACCAUGUACAACAGGAGGCAGAGGUCAAACAAAUGCUGCAUAUUCUGAAUUCCACAGAAAACACCCCUCCAGAGGACAGCAGUCACAAGCUUCAGGGACUGUACUGAUUAAAAUGAAAGAAGAAAAUACAGAGACAGAAGCAGAAGCAGAGCAGAGAAACCCAACAUAUUCUGAGCUGGCUGCUAUCAAUCAAGUCAGUACAUUGUCCCUUAUCAUCUGGAAAUUCAGUUUUCCCUCAGCAGAGCUGACUACAUGUACUUUCCCAGUCUACUGCGAUGGAAAGUUCUAUCAUCUCCAGAAAGCAAUUUGCAAUCCCAAACAAAUUAUAUAAUUAAGAAAUCACUUUCAGAGCACUGUUCUAAGUUGUUUGAGACACAGCCCUAUUGAAAUCUGUCUCUAGGCAUCCUUCGGCUCUCAGUGAGGUUUUAAGGGGUUAUUUAAAAAUACAGAUAUUAGAGACAAUGUGAAUAUGGCAAAUAUUCCACAAUGUGUGUCCUAAGGCUACAAACCACCAUGCUAUUCUAUCUACCAGAAAAUAGUAAAAGAGCCAUUAAACUCAGACCUCGCUGAAGUCAAAUGAAAGAGAGGGAAAACUCAAACCCUCCAAAUGUUGAUGUGUUCAAUGAUGUGUUUCAAUGAGUGAAAUGACUGAAUUUUGUACACUGUAUAUUUAUGCACUAAAACACACAUCUAAAAAGAGAGGGAGGGAAAGAAGGAGAAAAGAACAGACUUGAGGUACAAAAAAAACCAGCUUACUCUGAGGAUCUCAAAAGAUGCAGUGACAAGAUCCCGAUAUGCAGAGCUGAAGGAGCUCUUCAAAAUCAGUGUGAGAAAACCACUUUCUACUCAAGACUAUACUGCCCACAAUUCUAUGAUGCAUUUUCUCACACGCAUAGCCCAGACCCUGCAAACUGAGUUGGAUAUAGGGGGUGUGGGGCAGGGGCAGACUGACAGCCUGAGCACACCAGUGACUAGCAGGAGUUCACCCACCUGCCACUGGCAAUAUCCUCUGCCCAGGAGGCACUUCACAUGAAAGCAAAUGAGGUGUUAGCUGACUCAAGCAGUGCAGAGGUCACUGCUGAUGAAAGGCUAGUGAGCAGGGAUUCAAAGGAGCAGCUUGACAGGAAUGCGAUGGCAUGACAGGAGCCAAAGGAGUUGAGCACGCUGCCUGCAUCUGUUCCUGAAAAACAGAACAGAGGAAGGUGAAGAGGCUCAGCUGCUUUGCAUAUAACCUAAGGAAAGAGGACUCGGUGAAGGAGGACUGAAGAUAUCAAAGGAAGAUUGUCCAAAAGUGAUGACAGUGGCAAUGUGCUUUCUGCUGAGCUUUGUCCCACCAGUUGCUGAGGUCAUGCAGUCCAAGGGCUGUGCCCUGCAGCUGUGGGCCCACAUAGCACCUCGAGUGCUGGCACAGGGGGCUCCAAGUAUGUGCAACCACAACAUCACAUUAUUGUGGGAAGGGAAACCACUGCUUGAACACACAUGCUUUCUUGAAAGCAGGGUAAGCUGGUAGGUGAGAAAGAAGGGUAAGAACAAACUUUUGGGCACCCUUUAAAACAAGGCAGGGCUUAGGUCUGUUCAAAACUUUUCUGUCACUUUACUGACAGAAAACAGGAUUUUCAGCUAGUUUAUAUAUUCAUGAAAAGAGCUGAUUUCUGUAAAAAAGCUUCGUAUUUUUAGGACGGGGAUUAGGAGAAGAUGAAAUUUUUCAUGCAACUGAAAAGACUACAAACACUUCCUGAUUGCACUUAAUGUUGUCUCAGUGUAAAGAGCUGCCAAAAUUUUCCCUAUCACCUCCAUGACUGAGUACAGAAAUGAACCACAAGCCAAUGAAAUCUAUUUUAAACAAAGCUUUGUAGUCAGCAGUGCCAAAAUACAUCUUUAUCUUUAAAAUAAUAAAUAACAUUGACAAAAUUUGCAAAAAUAGGAAAGAUCUUUCUGUUAUGGCCCAGUCCCGGGAAAAUAUGUGUCAAAAUACCUGAAUGACCUUUUGAAAAUAUUUUGUGCAAAAAAAAUACGAAGCAUGAAAUUGAAAUCAUAUCCUGAUCCUUAGUUAGUGUCACUGAGUACAAAUAAGAAACAAACUACUUGUUCUUAGGUCUGGAAAAGAAUGAAGGCAAUAAAUAUCAGAUCCAUUAUUUCUCCUUUAACAAGCAGUGCAAUAUUUCAGCCAAAAAAUCUCCAGCCACCCUCAAUUGUUGCUAGCAGCCAAAUCUAAUCUAACGACUGGGGACAUGGAUGAAAGUGGGAUACAAUUUCUGUCUUAUCCUGAAGUCUAUACCAAGAAUAGCUUUCACUUGAUCCAGAAGAACAGUUUAUGGCUCCAGGACUUGAAUACCUUCCCUGUUGCUCACUUACAUGCUUUGCUUGCAGGAAAUCAGGUUCCCGCUGCCAAUUAUGUUCAUCGUCAUCACUCAUCCACAGAGUCUUACUAAUCUGACAGACUUUUAUUACUCUGAGUGUCUGUUGCUACCCUGAGCUGGUGUUUAACCUCUUCUCUGCCAGGUCAUGGCAUGUGGUCAAAGACCAUACACAUCUCUAAGAAUAUGGAGGGGCAGAACACUGAUGGGAGAAUGGGCCAGCUGGAGAUGCUUCUUCCCUUUUCCACCACGCUUUAUGUCACGCCUGUCACAGUCGGUUCUGUAUGUCCAGGUCUUUUUUCUUGAAUAGCACCUUUAAUUCCCUAAAGGGUAUCUAAAAAUACCUAAAUACAGGAUUGGUAUAAACAGUCCAGUUUUGAAAUGAAAAGGUCUGUUCAUUACUUUGUUUCUCAGUUAGAGACAAAGCAGUAGAGUAUAACUGCUGUUGCUGUGCUAGGUAGCUCUCAUACUGCCCAGCUCACACCUCUGUGCUAGAAUAAUGUUUUCUGAGUGUCCUGGGUUACAGUGUAUUCUAUGACCAUCCUUGAGCUGUUGAAACCAGGUGGGGCAGUGUUUCUGUGCCUCCUCCCUCCGGACCACCUUCUCUUAAUGAGCCCAUUAAUGCCUUGCCUCACGGCUCAUCAUCCUAUUGUGAGAUGCUCCGCCCAGAAGCAUUCCAUCCUGGAUAUAAUCUGAGAUUCCGAAUACCACAGACACC